UUUAGCAUUUAAAACGUGAGUAUAAAUAGCGCGAGCUGCAGUGUGCCGGCAUCAUUCAGUGGUGCAGUACUUACUUACCGCGCGGCAGAGUCGACGAGUCCCGCACAAGAUGAAGUCGUGCACAAUAUUGUUCCUGCUCAUUGUCGCACUCUGUGCUUGCGAUGAUUUGGGAUCCAAGAGCAAUGAUAAUGAUGGUGUUGACUCUGAACGUUUUAAAAACCCGAGUUUAAGUUCUAUUGAUAGUGUGAUUAACGGAACCAUUCCUUCUUAUGGUCUACAACCUGUAUUUACUAGCUUGUCGCUCAGGCAAAUUGAGGAUAAUUAUGGAAAGCCAAAAUAAAACAAGACCAAAUCGGAAAUCGAUCCACCAAAAUAGAUAAUCAGAAAUCGACUACUAAUUUUACAAGUUUCAAAGUCAACUUCUUCAUCGCCAUCACAUCGAGCACAAGCCGUCCACUGCUGAACAUACGCCUCCCCCAAUGGCUCGAGCGGUCGGUUGGAAGCGGCCUGCAUCCAGCGGCUCCCUGCGACUGCGUCAGGUUUUAAUCUUGCUUACACGCCCAGUAAACGUGUUACUGUAACGUUAUCAAUAAACAUUAACCAGCUGC